UAUAAUAUAGAGAUAUCUAUUUAUUAACAUAAUAAAUAUAUCUCUCUCUAUUAUAAUAGAGAGAGUUAUAUUUAUUAAAGGAAAGACUGGUCCCUAAAGGGCCAGUCUCUCUCUGUUUCACCACCGGAGGGGGAUUCUUAAGGGGGAUGUUUUUUUGUGAUUUGAUGUGUUAAGCAAAAAACAUUCCCCAACCAAAAGAAUCCCCCGUUCCCUCCGUAUGGAGCCAACGUCGGUCAACAUGGGCAUAGGGAAGUGGUGUCACCAAUACCACUUCCCCGGGGUAUCAAUUCUCGAAAGAUACCCCAAGCACAGCCUUUAGAGCUCCCACUUCGGAUGAAGGUAGAAGUUUCUGUGCUCACUUACGUAAUUUCUUUUUCUUUUUUGAGAAACCUUGAGAGAAAAGGAGCGAAGCGAGGCCGAAGUGGUCCCCGAUCCGGAAAGGGGACCACGGAGGGGAGAAGAGAAGGGUCGAAACUGAAACUAGGAAUUAGAGGAGAGGGAAAUCGGAACUAGGAAAUUUGGAAAUAGGAACAAGGAAUGGGUAGGUUGAGUUGAAAGUUGAGGAGUUGAGUUGUUGAGUUCGGAGGUCAGGAGUUGAGUUGUUGAGUUUGAGUUGUUGAGUUUGAGUUGUCGAGUUCGGAGGUCAGGAGGUUUGGUGUUUGUGUUUGUUGCUUGAUGUAAGAAGUGCCUUAAAAGGGUACCACGCCAGAUAAAACCCCGAUUCUCGUGUAACUAAAACAUCAUCAUACAACAAGUUUUUAUCCUGGGGUGGGUACCCUUUUAAGGCACUUCUUACAUCAAGCAACAAACACAAACACCAAACCUCCUGACCUCCGAACUCGACAACUCAAACUCAACAACUCAAACUCAACAACUCAACUCCUGACCUCCGAACUCAACAACUCAACUCCUCAACUUUCAACUCAACCUACCCAUUCCUUGUUCCUAUUUCCAAAUUUCCUAGUUCCGAUUUCCCUCUCCUCUAAUUCCUAGUUUCAGUUUCGACCCUUCUCUUCUCCCCUCCGUGGUCCCCUUUCCGGAUCGGGGACCACUUCGGCCUCGCUUCGCUCCUUUUCUCUCAAGGUUUCUCAAAAAAGAAAAAGAAAUUACGUAAGUGAGCACAGAAACUUCUGCCUUCAUCCGAAGUGGGAGCUCUAAAGGCUGUGCUUGGGGUAUCUUUCGAGAAUUGAUACCCCGGGGAAGUGGUAUUGGUGACACCACUUCACUAUGCCCAUGUUGACCGACGUUGGCUCCAUACGGAGGGAACGGGGGAUUCUUUUGGUUGGGUAAUGUUUUUUGCUUAACACAUCAAAUCACAAAAAAACAUCCCCCUUAAGAUUCCCCCUCCGGUGGUGAAACAGAGAGAGACUGGCCUUUAGGGACCAGUCUUUCCUUUAAUAAAUAUAACUCUCUCUAUUAUAAUAGAGAGAGAUAUAUUUAUUAUGNNNNNUUAAUUAAUUAANNNNNAUUUUUGGGCGCGGCCGUGGCCAUGGACUUUUUCCACUGGACGAGCUUGCGCCCCAGCCUUCGCUAGGUUAUUUUUGGGAGCGGCUGUGCCUGCGGCCUAUUAUUCCCAAAAAUAACCGCCCGAUGGCCGGGGCGCCAAGCUCGUCCAGCGGAAAAAGGCCACAAAAACGGGUGGGCUAUAGCCUUGGUGGGUGGGGCUGGCCAACUUCGUCCGCCGGAGUCGGAAUGCCACGAGACUUUGCGAGGGGCGUCCGUGUGCCAAAAGUAGGCUGCAGGCAAAGCCGCACCCAAAAAUAACCGCCCGAAGGCCGGGCGCGCCAAAUUCGUCCAGCGGAAAAAGGCCACAAAACCGGGUGGGCUAUAGCCUUGGGGGGUGGGGAUGGCCAACUUCGUCCGCCGGACUCGGAAUUCUGCAAGACUUUGUGAGGGGCCUCCGUGUGCCAAAAAUAGGCCGCGGGCAAAGCCGCGCCCAAAAAUAACCGCCCGAAGGCCGGGGCGCCAAGUUCGUCCAGCGGAAAAAGGCCACAAAAACGGGUGGGCUAUAGCCUUGGGGGGUGGGGCUGGCCAACUUCGUCACCCGGACUCGGAAUGGCACGAGACUUUACGAGGUGCCUCUGUGUGCCAAAUAUUGGCCGAGGGCACAGCCGCGCCCAAAAAUAACCGCCCGAAGAAUGGGGCGCCAAGUUCGUCCAGCGGAAAAAGGCCACAAAAACGGGUGGGCUAUAGCCUUGGGGGGUGGGGCUGGCCGACUUCGUCCGCGGACUCGGAAGGGCGCGAGACUUUGCGAGCGGCCUCCAUGUGCCAAAAAUAGCCCGCGGGCACAGCCGCGCCCAAAAUUAACCACCUGAAGGCCGGGGCGCCAAGUUCGUCCAGCGGAAAAAGGCCACAAAAACGGGUGGGCUAUGGCCGUGGGAGGUGGGGCUGGCCGACUUCGUCCGCCGGACUCGGAAUGGCGCGAGACUUUGCGAGCGGCUUCCGUGUGCCAAAAAUAGGCCGCGGGCACAGCCGCGCCCAAAAAUAACCGCCCGAAGGCCGGGGCGCCAAGUUCGUCCAGCGCAAAAAGGCCACAAAAACGGGUGGGCUACAGCCUUGGAGGGUGGGGCUGGACAAAUUCGUCCGCCGGACUCGGAGUGCCGAGACUUUGCGAGGGGCCUCCGUGUGCUAAAAAUAAGCCGCGGGCAAAGCCGCGCCCAAAAAUAACCGCCCGAAGGCCGGGGAGCCAAGUUCGUCCAGCGCAGAAAGGCCACGAAAACGGGUGGGCUAUAGCCUUGGGGGGUGGGGCUGGCCAACUUCGUCCGCCGGAAUCGGAAUGCCGCGAGACUUUGCGAGGCGCCGCCGUGUGCCAAAAAUAGGCCGCGGGCACAGCCGCACCCAAAAAUAACAGCCAGAAGGCCGGGGCGCCAAGUUCGUCCAGCGGAAAAAGGCCACAAAAACGGAUGGGCGAUAGCCUUGGGGGGAGGGCGCCGGUGGGGCGGGGCCAACUUCGUCCGCCGGACAACUUCGUCCGCCGGGCUCGGAAUGCCCCGAGACUUUGCGAGGGGCCUCCGUGCGACAAAAAUAGUCCGCGGGCAAAGCCGCGCCCAAAAAUAACCUCCAGAAGGCCGGGGCGCCAAGUUCGUCUAGCGGAAAAAGGCCACAAAAACGGGUGGGCUAUAGCCUUGGGGGGUGGGGCUGGCCAACUUCGUCCGCCGGACUCGGACUGGUGCGAGACAUUGCAAGGCACCUCCGUGUGCCAAAAAUAGGCCGCGGGCACAGCCGCGCUCAAAAAUAACCACCCGAAGGUCGGGGCGCCAAGUUCGGCCAGCGGAAAAAGGCCACAAAAACGGGUGGGCUAUAGCCUUGGGGGGUGGGGCUGGCCAACUUCGUCCGCCGGACUCGGAAUGGGGCGAGACUUUGCCAGGCGCCUCCGUGUACCAAAAAUAGGCCGCGGGCACAGCCGCGGCCAAAAAUUACUGCCCGGAGGACGGGGGGCCAAGUUCGUCCAGCGGAAAAAGGCCACAAAAACGGGUGGGCUAUAGACUUGUGGGGUGGGGCUGGCCAACUUCGUCUGCCGGACUCAGAAUGGCGCGAGACUUUACGAGACACCUCCGUGUGCCNNNNNUUAAUUAAUUAANNNNNGACUCGGAAUGCCGCAAGACUUUACGACGGGCCUCCGUGUGCCAAAAAUAGGCCGCGGGCAAAGCCGCGCCCAAAAAUAACCGCCCGAAGGCCGGUGGGCCAAGUUCGUCCAGCAGAAAAAGGCCACAAAAACGGGUUGGCUAUAGCCUUUGGGGGUGGGGCUGGCCAACUUCGUCCGCUGGACUCUGAAUGCCGCGAGACUUUGCGAGGGGCCUCCGUGUGCCAAAAAUAGGCCGCGGGAAAAGCCACGCCAAAAAAUAACCACCCGAAGGCCGGGGCGCCAAGUUCGUCCAGCGGAAAAAGGACACAAAAACGGGUGGGCUAUAGCCUUGGGGGGUGGGGCUGGCCAACUUCGUCCGCCAAACUCGGAAUGCCGUGAGACCUUGCGAGGGGCCUCCGUGUGCUAAAAAUAGGCCGCGGGCAUAGCCGCGCCCAAAAAUAACCGCCCGAACGGCGGGGCGCCAAGUUCGUCCAGCGGAAAAGGCCACAAAAACAGGUGGGCUAUAGCGUUGGGGUGUGGGGCUGGCCUACUUCGUCCGCCGGACUCUGAAUGCCGCGAGACUUUGCGUGGGCCUCCGCGUGGCAAAAAUAGGCCGCGGGAAAGCCGCGCCCAAAAAUAGCUGCCCGAAGUCCGGGAUGCCAAGUUCGUCCAGCGGAAAAAGGCCACAAAAACGGGUGGGCUAUAGCGUUGGGGGGUGGGGCUGGCCAACUUCGUCCGCCGGACUCGGAAUGCCGCGAGAUUCUACGAGGGGCCUCCGUGUGCCAAAAAUAGGCCGCGGACAAAGCCGCAACCAAAAAUAACCUUCCGAAGGCCGGGGCACCAAGUUCGUCCAGUGGAAAAAGGCCACAAAAACGGGUGGGCUAUACCCUUGGGGGGUGGGGCUGGCCAAUACUUCGUCCACCGGACUCUGAAUGCCUCGAGACUUUGCGAGGGGCCUCCGUGUGCCAAAAAUAGGCAGCGGGAAAAGCCGCGCCCAAAAAUAACCGCCCGAAGGCCGGGGCGCCAAGUUCGUCCAGCGGAAAAAGGCCACAAACGGGUGGGCUAUAGCCUUGGGGGUGGGGCUGGCCAACAUCGUCUGCCGGACUCGGAAUGCCGCGAGACUUUGCGAGGGGCCUCCGUGUGCAAAAAAUAGGCCGCAGAAAAAGCCGCGCCCAAAAAUAUCCGCCCCAAGGCCGGGGCGCCAAGUUCGUCCAGCUGAAAAAGGCCACAAAAACGGGUGGGCUAUAGCCUUGGGGGUGGGGCUGGCCAUCUUCGUCCGCCGGACUUGGAAUGCCGCGAGACUUUGCGAGGGCCUCCGUGAGCCAAAAUAGGCCGCGGGCAAAACCACGCCCAAAAAUAACUGCCCGAAGGCGGGGGCGACAAGUUCGUCCAGCGGAAAAAGGCCACAAAAACGGGUGGGCUAUAGCCUUUGGUGGUGGGGCUGGCCAACUUCGUCCGCCGGACUCGGAAUGCAGCGAGACAUUUGCGAGGGGCCUCCGUGUACCAAACAUAGGCUGCGGGCAAAGCCGUGCUAAAAAAUAACAGCCCGAAGGCCGGGGCGCCAAGUUCGUCCAGCGGAAAAAGGCCACAAAAACGGGUGGGCUAUAGCCUUGGGGGGUGGGGCUGGCCAACUUCGUCCGCGCCCACUCGGAAUGCCGCGAGACUUUGCGAGGGGCCUCCAUGUGCCAAAGAUAGGCCGCGCGCAAAGCCGCGCCCAAGAAUUACCGCCCCAAGGGCGGGGCGCCAAGUUCGUCCAGCGGAAAAAGGCCACAAAAACGGGUGGGCUAUAGCCUUGGGGGGUGGGGCUGGCCAACCUCGUUUGCCGGACUCGGAAUGCCGCGAGACUUUGCGAGGGGCCUCCGUGUGCCAAAAAUAGGCCGCGGGCAAAGCCGCGCACAAAAAUAACCGCCCGAAGACCGGGGCGCCAUGUUCGUCCAGUGGAAAAAGGCCACAAAAACGGGUGGGCUAUAGCCUUGGGGGGUGGGGCUGUCCUCCUUCGUCCGCCGGACUCGGAAUGCCGCGAGACUUUGCGAGGGGCCUCCGUGUGCCAAACAUAGGCCGCAGCCAAAGCCGCGCCCAAAAAUAACCGCCCGAAGGCCGGGGCACCAAGUUCGNNNNNUUAAUUAAUUAANNNNNAAAUCCGAUCUCUGGAUUGGUGGAUUAGAUUAGAUUUGAAAAUUUGAAAAUCCACAGUCAUUAUAUUGGAUAUGGAUUUACUUCUGUGAAUUCGCAAAAAUCUGCGAAUCCGCAAAAAAAUAAAAAAUAUUUAUUUAAUAAAAAAUUAAACUUUUAAAUAUGGAAUUAUACUUACUAAUAAAUAAAUAAGUUAAAAUAUACAUUAACACCAUAUUAUGUCUUAUCCGAUAAUAAUAUAAAAUAAAAAAACAGAGCUUCCCAAGCAAUUAAUUUUUAUGUAUUGAUUUAAACAAAUGAGAUUUUUUUCUUUUUGGUGUGUUAUAUUUUAAAAUUUUGAAUGUAUUUUCUAACUUUAUUUAAAUAUUAUAUAAUUUUAAAUUUGAUUGGUAAUAAAAUUAUUUUUAUAUUAAUUUUUUUAUUUAAAGUUUGAAACAUUCAAUCAAAAUCUCUUCUCUCCCCUUUCCUUGUAGCGGGUUUAAACAUCAGUAUUAUCGCAAUGUGGGGUCAUUCAGUUAUUGGAUCAACUAAUGAGAUACAACCUAAAUAGAAAAUAGGCAACGCUCUUAGUUAUUACGUACAGAAGGUAACAAAAUUCUCCUCUGCCACUUCCUCCUGCCUUCGACAGUGGCUUCUCAACGAUCUUUUGUUAUAGGCGUUGGCACAAAUAAAGGACGUUGAUAAUUUAGGGAAAAAAUUAAAUAAAUAAAUAAAAAAGGACGGUUGAUUAAUGCCGUCAGUAAUAAAUUAGUGUUGGAUGCGUAGACUUGCGCGCUGACGCAAAAUACGGGAAAAGACAAGAGACUAAAGAAGAAAGAACAAGCGAACCUGUAAUUCUUGAUAUCUAUGAUGGAGGAGGUGUUGUGAUUUUUCUGGUACCGUGGCUGUUGUAAAAGAAAAAAUAUAUAAUUAUAAAAUAAAAAUUAAUAGUAUGUAAUAAAUAUAAUUUUUAAAUAAUAAUUUUAAAAAAAUUUAAAAUAUAUAAUAAAUUUUUAUUAUAUAAGUAUAAAAUUAAUUUAAUUUAAUUUUUAAAUUAUAAUAAUUAAUAUUUAUUAAAUAUUUUAAUAUUAUAAUUUUUAUAUUACAAUUAUUCAACCUCAAUUUCAAACAACACUUUAAUCGAAUUAGUUCGCAUUGAGAUUCUUCUCCAAUCAGAUAGGAACGUCAUAAAAAAUAAUUGUGAGAAUAUCAAUGGGGUUCAAUUGUUCAAACAAGUCCACGCACUUUUUCUAAUUUGUUUGUCUUUUUUAUACGUGACAAUUUCGUAUUUAGUUUGUCAACAUAUAUAUAUACACACUUAUCAUAGAGUUUAUAUUUAUAUUAAUGCAUGUGUUACUAUUCAUUAAUUAAAAUACGCUUAAAAAAUGAUAAACACCAAGGUUAAUAUCUUUGAAGUAUCAUAAUUUAUUAUUUUAUUACUAUAUUUUAAAAAAUUUCCAUUUUACUACAUUUCACUUAAUACUGUUGGUCCUUUACUGUUACUAAUUGUAAGGUGACAGCUAAUGAAGCCAAUCCUAACAGAAGUCGUUCAACGUCGAUGUCAUACUGACAUUGAAGGGGUAAAAAAUGAGUUCACAUAUAAAACCAAGAUAAAAUCCUAUGAGCUAUUAUCGUUAAUUAUUGAAUAAAUCAAACGUGUUAAUCCAAUUUGGUAGUGUACACAUGCGAGCAUAGAGGAGGUUGAAAAUAUUAAGAUGUGGGCCAAUUUUAAAUUAUAACUCUGAAUUCCAAACGUUGAUAAUAUUCACAAUAGGAAAAUUUUUUAAAAUAUAUUAGAGGUAAUACAAUCAAUUAAUACAUAUAUGACAUGUGUAUUUAGAUUUAAUAUAACCACACUUAAAUGAUGAUAUUUCGAAAUAAAUACACACAUGUCAUAAUAUGAUUUAUUUAUUAUAGAUUGAUAUAAUAUCUCUAAUCUAAUGUAUUUUAAAACUUCUCAACGACAGGAGAUUUUGCUGAAUUUUGAAAUAUUAAGAGGUUUUCGCUAUAUUUUAAUAAAUAAGAAGGAGGUUUUACUCAUUUCCUUUAAAUUAAUUUUGUAAACUAAGGUCCAUUAUAUCCAUAUUACUUUUGCAACAAGCCCGCUUANNNNNUUAAUUAAUUAANNNNNUGCAUGCAAAAUAAAAAUAAUGAGGGUCUGCUUGUAAUAUUCCCAUUAUUUAAUUUUACUAAUUUAUAAAAUUAUUGUAAUAAGCUGUGGAUAUCCAAAUUUUAUAAAUUUCACACUCACUCUUUUAUAGCACCGUAAAGUAGCAAUACAACAUAACAAAGGCCCUUGAUACGCCAAAGGGCUUGUAGCCUAUUGACAACCCAUGCACUCAAUUGGGUUCGAGUUCCAACAAUAGCCCAAUUGGGUUUGAGUUCCAACAAUAGCUAGGAUUUGAUUUCGCUCAUAGUAGGGAUUUAUUUGUCUCCCUGCAUUUAGAGUAGAAUAAAUCUUUUUCAGCAUUAAGUGAGGGUUGGCCUUUGAGCUAUGCCAUAAUAGAAUUACUAAGGGGAGUCCCAAUCGAUUUCUGAUUGUAAAGAGCUCUGAUUGUAAUAUAUUAGUAUAUUAAAAAAAAAGGCCCUUGAUUCAUAAUAAAUAAUGAUUCACCUUAUCAUCAAUGCACAAGAAAUGUACUAAGAGCAAAGGUUGGUAAAUUCGCAUGUAAAUAAUAACAUGAAUGAACACUUUAUGUAUGCAAAUAAUUACAUCACAUUGAAAAAAAACUGAAUGAAUUUUUUGAACAAGUUAAUUUGCAGAAAAUGGUCACAAAAGUUUUUGAAACAAUGAAAUGGAAAUUGAGCUUGGGAGCAAUAAUUAUUCAGAAAGGCGGGAGGAAAAAUAUUCUCAAGCAGAUUUUUGGUUGACAGAAGGCAAAGAAUUUUGAAGGCCUCACAAUGACACUUAUCAACAUGUGACCCAAUUGCUAGAUUUACUUUUUAUUUCUACGGAUAAAAUUACUUUGAGGGGUGCUACUGGCGCCCCUGUAUGUCUCCGAUAAAACUCCCUUUUGUUCAUUUUUUAUAAUUUUACGCUUUGCAUUAAAAGCAAAAACUUACUGAUUAAAUUUAUCACCUAUUAUUUUACUUGGUUAUUUUCUCUAUUACAAAUACUAGAAAUCUACAAACAUAAAAAAGAGGUUGAUUGUAAAAGAGUAAGAAUUAAAGAUUGUGUUACAACCUUUGAACAGUCGAACCUUUGAGAAAAAUGCCACGAUUGACCAAACCUUGACCAGCUGCUAUGGCUUCAUCGGCGGCUGGUGGUGAUGAUCAACCGCCACCAGCACCUCCCCAACUUGCUAGCGACCAGUUCUCUAUCUGGCAACUCCCCAUUCGAUGAUUUAGAAGAAGCGUCAACUUUUUCAUAUUUAUCAGAUUCAGGAUGCUUCUUCUGAAUAGAUUUCUGAGCCAUCAGCCAUUGUUACCUCUGCAGUUGAAUAUUUUCAAGGGUUAUUGACAUGUGGUAUUAGUCAGUUUCAGCAGUCAAACUUUGAUUUUACUCCGUCUCUGGUGGCUAUCGGCAAUGAUGUGAAUCUAUGUAGAAAGCUAGAUAUGGAUGAGGUUAGGUAGGUGGUUUUCUCUAUUGAUCUUGACAGUGCUUUGGGUCCUGAUGGGUUCUACAGUAAGUUUUAUCAGUACUGUUGGGAUAUCAUUAGCAAUGAUUUAUUAGAGGCUGUCCUUUAUUACUUCAGAGGUUCGGCUAUGCCUAAGGGUUUUCAGAGUACAUUAUUGAUUUUUUUUUUCUAAGAAGUCGUCCCCAACAUCUUGUAUAGAUUUUAGACCGAUCAGUUUAUGUAAUAUUAGUAACAAGGUUAUGACCAAACUGCUUGCGUUGAGAUUGACCCCUUUGUUGCCUCGUCUUAUUUCUCAUUCUUCGAGUGGUUUUGUCCCCUAGUAGAGUGAUUCAUAAUAAUGUGCUUUUGGUUUAGGAGUUGGUCCAUGAUCUCAACCAUCGUACUCGGGGAAAUAAUGUGGUGCUAAAGCUUGACAUGGCAAAGGCUUGAUCGGAUGUCAAGGUCUUUCAUUAUUAAGAUGUUGCGGUGUUUUGGGUUUUCAAAGCGGUGGGUUUCUUUGAUUCGACGAGCCAUCUUUGGUCCUUAGUUCUCAGUGUUGGUGAAUGGAGUCAGCCAUAGUUUUUCUAGUUUAAAGGAGGUCUCAGGCAGGGCGAUCCUCUCUUCUCAUGUUUAUUUAUCAUUGCUACUGAGUUNNNNNUUAAUUAAUUAANNNNNGGGGGGGGGGGGGGGGAUUGAAAUGCUGAUUUCGAAUCACUAACAGUAAAAUUGGAAGCUCAUGAAAAAAUAGUUUUAUCUCAAAAUUACAUCUCGAUAUAAAUUCUCUUUUCAUUUCCUUCAACUUUCUAAUUAAGCUUAAAAAAUGUACCUUCAACCACAAAGGGGUUUAAAAUUUAAAAUAUAAAAAAUAAAUUCAGAUAACAAUAAUUAAUUUAAUUAAAAAUAUAAAUAGAGUUACAGAGAAAGAGAAAAUAGAGAAAGACGUAAUGUUGAGUCCUUUGGCGCAAGUCUCUUCAUAGGUCCGAACCAUUUCUUCGGGCGUGGGUUUCGGGUCUUUAGGAUACUCCAUAGUGAUAAGCCAGUGAUUGUAAUCGCAACCCUCGAACAGAAUCGUGUCGGGUGUGAUCUCGUCGCCGUCCUUAUACAAGUGGUACGUCUUGUUAACCGACGGCGUAGACGAGAGGGAGAUCGUCGGGGACGAUCUGAACGGCCGAGAUUGGAUAAUGAUGGAGGAGGAGAAGAUUAGCGAUGACGACGCCGAUGAAAUGGAAGGGUUUACCAGAGGAGUGGAUGCGAAGAAUGCAGGGACGGCCGCAAAGAGAGAGCGGCGGAGAGCGGCGACGGACGGUAGUGACCGGCGGAGAGCGGAAGAUGGCGGUAUGGGCCAUUGCUUGCGCGUCAGUGAGUGUCUCGAGUGAGGAGUGAAGGGUUUUGUACUUUUGUUUAGGGUUUUGGGAAAUGAAAAAUGCAAAUGUUUGAUUUUGUUGCUAGAAACUUCUUCUGCCGCCGCUUUUUAUUUUCGCUAAAUAAUAAUAAUAAUUUGUUAAUAAAAUACUUUCUUAGAAAAGAUAAAUUUAUAGAACAAAAUUUAUAUUAAAUCAAAUUGUAAAAAUGUGGAAUAGGGCUAAUUUCUCCUGAAUAUUAUUAUUAGUAGAAGUAGAUUUUCGAAAUAGUCUUGAUAUAUUUCAAAGUUGUAUUAUAGAUGUACAUGUAUCUGGAUUGUAAUUAUAUUUUAAAAAAUAUACAUUUUUUUUCAUUAUUGCACAAUAAAUGUAGAAAGUGUCUAUAAAAUAAUAUUAUUAGAACUAUGAAAAUAUAUUAUUUUAGAGUAGUUAUUUAUUUAUUUUUGAAUAAAUAAUUUAUUAAUUUAUUAAUUUAUUGAUAAAUUAAUAAAUAUUAAUUUAAAGAGAGAUUUUUUUUUUUGGGGGUUUUUAAGAAGAGUUUUGUUGGUAUAUGUACAAACUUAUAAAGAAAUACAAAAAAUGCUUCCUCAAGUCAAUAGUAUUUACUUUAAUUCAUAAUAGUAUAGUUUAAUCAAGAAACUUAUAAUUAUACUAUAUCUUUCUUUCUUUGUUCUAUUUGGUGGGACAUUGUGAUAAAUCAUUGGAUUAAAAUGCAUUUCUAAAUGAAAACUUGUUAAAACCUAAUUUAUUUGGGAACGACAUUUUAUUUGUCAGUCGUAUUUCUCAACUUCGUAAGUUAUUUCUAAUUUAUCGGUCUCUAUUGGUUCUCUUAAGUACCUAUUUGGCAUGACUUAUUUAAUAGUAAUAAGUGCUUAUUUAAUCUCAUAAGUUUUUUCCCUCUCUGACAAUUGAGUUAGGGGGUCAAACUUGAAAGUAUCUUAAAAUUAGACAACAAUUUAACUAUUUUUUUUUUUUAGAUAACUGCUAAUAUGCUCUAUUAGACAAUGAUGAGUGAUAACCUAGGUGUUUGCAUUUAAAGGGAUACUUUUUGUGGUGUUGAUAAAGAGGUUAAGUAUGAUUCAACAAUUUAAAAUAUGAAAACAUAUGGAAGACGGCCGCAAUUAAAUUAAUUGUAUGAAAAUAUUUCAAUGAAAUUUUAAAAAUUUAGUAUUUGUUAUCUUAUCGAGAGUUUUUUAAAAUUAUAUUACUACUUGAACUUGACUGCUUUUGUAUUUAAUUCCUACCGUUGCCAUUGCUUCUACUCAAAAGCCAUUUAAGUUUGUGUAAGCUACGUAUAGUUUGAACAACAAUUUACUCAUGAAUUGUUGUUCAUAAUAGCAUCAGUGCAUGCAUCAUUUUAAUGAGAAAGAAUAUUCUAAGAACGAAAUUGAANNNNNUUAAUUAAUUAANNNNNACUCAAUUCAAUCUUCUCAACUAGGUUUUUUCUAUUUCUUUACGUCAGCAAGGACGUCCAAGAGUUUCCUAUCGUACAGAUUGCUUAUGUAGGGUCGGCAGAAAUCGCCGAGUUCUAUUUACUUGGGAAUUUUUAGUGCCGAAAAUUAUUAGUUAUAUAUUUUUAAAUGAUAUUUGUAUUAAAUAUAUUAUAAUAUUUUUUUAUGUAUAUUACUCGUAUAUCCUAAGUUAAUAAAAUACUUCCGCCGUCCACUAAUUCGUUAACUUCAAAGUUAACACAAUUGUGAUAAAUUGACUAUUUCGCCCUUGAAACUCAAAAUGAAGUAAAGAGAUAAAUUUACCCAAAAAAUUAACGUAAAUUUUCAAUACAUAUAUUUUAUAUUAACAAUAUAUAUUUUUGAUUAAAAAAAUAUGAAUUAUUAAAGGUACAUAUUAUUAACAAUUAUCCAUAAAAAAUAUCUAUAUUAUACUAUAAAAAAAUUAUUAACAGCAUAUUAUUUACAAUUAUACAUAUUAUACCAUAUAAAAUUUCAGUUGGAGUUUGGAGGAGUAGAUCUUCAAAAAUUUAGGUUAAAUUUUGGAGGAGUAGAUUCGGUUGUAAAGUAGUUUUUUUUUUUAGUAAUUAUUAGCAAUUAUCCGAUAAAUGGGAGGACAUGUCAUGCUUAUCAAUAUAUAUCAUAUGACAUGUCAUCAAUGGGAUGACAUGUCAUUUUUUUAAUCAAAGUUUCUUCUAUAUUAAAAGAUUAGAUUACCCUUAUAAUGUCAGCGGUUGCAAACGAUAGUUAACGGAUUGGUGAACGGUAGAAGUGUUUUGUUAACUUAGGGUAAACAAAUGAUAGACGUGAAAAAUAUUGUAGCACGUUUGAUACGUGUGUCAUUUAAGAGUAUAUGACUGAUAAUUUCUCUUUUAGUGCCUAUUCUAAUUGGUCGAUGUGUUACAAAUAAAAAUUAUUAAUUUUAAUAAAAAUAAUAAAAUUUAAUAAUUAUAUAUUAUUUAAUGUAAUCAGUUAGUGAUAUUGUUUAUCACAUUAGUUGGAAUAUAAAUUAAGUUUUUCAAUUAAAUAAAUCUAGCAUUAUUAUUUUAUCGUUCAAGAUGAGAUUUGACCGUAUCUCAAAAGAUUAUUAAGAUUAUGUUCAGUCGAUUUAUUUUAAAUUUUUUAAUUAAUUAAAUUAAAUAAAACGAGAUUCCUUAUAGAAUUAAGCCUUAGUUAUUGUAUAGAGGGUGAUCACCUGGGUGACGUGCUCCUCUUGUGGUGGGCGACAUCGCCCGUGUGAUCACUUCUGAUUGUAUAAAUUACUUAUUUACACUGUAGCGUUACUAGAAAUCCACGAGUCUUAUUCGGAAUUUGAGAUUCUAUUUUAUUUGAACAUAAUUUGGGCUAAUUUUUUAGAAUUUAAUAGAUUUGGCAGGAUUUAGAAUAAAAAAUAGAACUGUUUUGUUAUUUGGGAACAGAUCAUACCAUAUGUAAUGAUGCCGUCAAGUUGAUUUGUGUUUAACAUUUUAAUAUAAUUUUAGUUAAAAUAAAACAAGACUGAAAUCUCAAUUCACAAUUUAGAAAACCUUAAACUUCAAUGUUAUUUUUUAAUAGUUAUUUCAUAAAAUAAAAAUAAGAAUGAAAAUAUCAUUUUUAUAUUUAUUUUUAAAAUUCAAGAACACGUUUGAUAUCAUUUUCAAAUAAUAGACUUGAAAGUGAAAAACAUGAAACUCAUUUGAUAGAAAUAUUUUGAAGAAUUACUGUUGAAAUAAACUAAAUAUUUUAGUAAUUUAUAGUUGAUAAAUUUUAGUAUUUAUUCAAUUAUUUUAUUUUUAAAAGAAUUUAUGUGAUCUUGUUAAUUUAUUUAUUUAACUGAUCGGUUUUGAAAAAACUAUUAAACCACACAUAUAUGUAAAUUUAAAAUAAUUUCAAUUAAUGUGAAAACAAAUAAAUUUAAUACUUAUAAUAAUAUAAAAAAGUAAAUAAUAAAUUUAAAUUAAGUGAAAAUUUUUGAAUAUUUAUUUUGCAAUCAAUUAAUAAAUUUAUUUUCAUUAUUAAUUAUUUUUUUACGUUAAUUAUAAUAUAUAUUUUACAUUAAUUACNNNNNUUAAUUAAUUAANNNNNUUAGUUAUGUGGUGAUCCUAGUCAAUUUCAUUUAUUUAAUCUUGAUCCAUUAUGUGUUAAUCGAACAAUAAGAUUCAUCAAAGAUUGUUUUAGAUCAAGCUUGAUUCGGUCCUUAAAAAACAACAUAACAUGAACAGAGUGUUUGGAACUAUAUGUUAACACUGAUACGUUUGUACAUAUAUAAUAAAAAAUCUACUAAAUUCCCAAAUCAAGUCUAUUAUAUUAUAUACAGCACAAUCGAAAUUUCUGCUUUUACUAAUUUUUCUAACCAGAUAUUAGACCACGGAAUUUUUCUUCCUUUUUUUUUUUUUGACCUUUUUUAACUUGGGAUGCUUUUUCUAACCACAUAUCAUGCCCAUCAUCCUUCAAUCGAUAAAGCAGGGUCAUCUUUUUUACUUUAGUACUAGAGUUACUGCUAGUAUCAUUAAUUAUGCUCCCCUGUGGUGUAGGAUCUUUUUGAUAUUAAUAAAUUUCCCCCGAUCCAUUAAGCCAUGACCAUAUUGACGCAACAAUUUUAUUCAUUCAUUUCCAUUUUCAGGAAGAUACAACACUCAAAAGUUAACUAAGGAAAUCUCUUUGUACAUUUCAAGAAAUUUUAUUAGCUAAAUUUAACAAAAUUAAUAAUCAAAUGAUCGAUAGCUAACAGUAUUUGUCUUUUUAUUUAAUUAAACAUAACACAAAAAAAUAGCAUUGCAUAAACUUAACCAAAA
rnacentral:lncRNA from 1 species